CAGUAGCCACGGUAAUACGUAGGGCGCAAGCGUUAUCCGGAAUUAUUGGGCGUAAAGAGCUCGUAGGCGGUUUGUCGCGUCUGCCGUGAAAGUCCGGGGCUCAACCCCGGAUCUGCGGUGGGUACGGGCAGACUAGAGUGAUGUAGGGGAGACUGGAAUUCCUGGUGUAGCGGUGAAAUGCGCAGAUAUCAGGAGGAACACCGAUGGCGAAGGCAGGUCUCUGGGCAUUAACUGACGCUGAUGAGCGAAAGCAUGGGGAGCGAACAGGAUUAGAUACCCCUGUAGUCCCUGUCUCUUAUAC
rnacentral:rRNA from 1 species